CCGGUUUUUGUUUCGCCGCUGGGGGAAAUGAGACUGUGGAUCGGUGCGGAGAUGCUACCAAUAUAGGAGGGAGUUUACUGUCCUCCUCCAGUGGAGGGAUGUAAAACCGAGAAAGUGCAGAGAAUUCUGAAAACUGCUGUUUCGUGAGGAUGCAGAGAAUUCUUCAUAGAACUGCAGUUCUCUGGAUGUGAGUGAAAACUGUUAAACCAGUUUAAGCCUCGGGGGAAGAUGCACCCUACAAGGUACUCUGACUGUGACAGUGAGCUUGUCUACAUAAGAUGGACAAUCCGGUGCUUAACCGAAGCUGCUUUUUCUGCUUUCUUUGUGUCCUUCACAUGAGGUCUGCCCUUCCCCUACCCCUGGUGAGGCUUCUCCUCUCUGCCUUUCUCUAUGCUCCUAUAUAUAUUACACAAUGCAAGGUGA